CACACACACACGUGGUCAUUGCAAAACCCCGUUUCCCGCCAUUGAGAAAGUGACGUAUGGAAUUAUUGAGAAAAUGAAAUUUGUUCGAGCUCUUCCAUGAGCCUUGACUUAAACAACCUCAUAAACCCAAAGAGGUGAAUGAUUCACUGUUCAAAACACGGAGAGGAACGUUGGUAAAAGCCUGGAGGCGACAAACAUGCAGGUGUUGCUGAUCUGGAGGGAAACACGGGGAUCAGUGUGAGUCCUCGGAUGGGGGUGUUCAUCCGCCCAAGCGUCGGGGUCAUCGAUGUAUUACGUACCGACUGGGGAGACGUUGUGGAAAAGAAGGGGAUGUGUAUGAUACAAGCUGAAGUUGUCCAUUCUCCCUUUAACCUUCUCUCCAUCGGACCGAUCCUCUUCCUCACGUCGAAGUGAAAAAUCUGAAACAAGAAUUGUGCGUUUGACCUUGAUUCCGGUGAUUCCGCUGAAUCACGGGAACUUGUUUUGUAUUCCCGGGGAAUGGAUACACGUGGUUCAACGGAUAAAAACAUCGGAAGGUGGAACCUCCAACUCUUGUAAAUUGCUUUGCUUCGUGCUGAGGGUCAUGGACCGAGACCACCUGAGGUACUCCCACGAUCCGAGCUCCUCGGACUCCAAGUCGGGUUCUGAUGGAGGGACCAGAGGGGGUCCAGGAGGGGCUGAUGGGAUCUGCGGGUUCAGGAUCCUGGACGUUCAGAACCUUCGUGAUGGAGGGGACGGGACGGACCAGGAACCAGAUCCUAUAGUGGUGGUGAAGGUGGAACCUGAACCUGCAGGUGGUUCUCCACCACCAGGUGAAAUGGAUCCAGUGGAAGCGGAAUAUUUCCAUGGAAACACUCUUCCAACUUCAAAGAGUGUACAUGUGAAGGAAGAGCUGGGUGAAGAUUCUCCCUCUGAAGAUGAGAAAUCGAGGACGAUCUUCAGGAUGUUUUCCUGCACCAAGAAUGUUCAUACCUCCAAAGAGAGAUCUUUACGACCAGACCAGAAGAGUCACUGUGCGAUUUGCAAGGAUUAUGAACAGAAUUUUAACCAUGACCAGGAGGAGGAGAUCCCCUUCAUGCUGUAUGCCCCCAUCCAGAAUGCGACUCACGCAACAACAUCUUUGCCCUUUCCAAUCGUACUCCUGGCCCACUGACUGCCAAUCGUGAUCCUGUUCCACCGACCGCCAUCGCGCAAUUGGAAAGUGUUCACCUGCUUCUCCUUUGUGAGUAAGAGUGUGGUGUUUGGCGCCUUAGCUGUGUUUGGAUUGUUUAUUUCCUUAACAUUGUAUAAAAGUUUGCAUAUCCCCUCUCCUACACUUGUCUGUCAUGGCACUUGGUUUGUUUUGUUUUCCCCACAUCCCAUCCACCUCUUCUCCAUGUAUCUCUUUUUAUUAAAAAAUAAACUUUUAAAAGGGUAAGAGACCUUUUCCCAUCUUUUGCCUCAUGUGUGCAUUCCAACACUGAAUUUGGCUUUAUUCGGUAUAACCUUGGGGGAAUUGGAAAGUGAAUCCCAGCACAGAGGUAUUUGAACGCAGUUUAGCUUCUCACCUUUCGGUUGUUCGUGGGACAAAGGUCCCGGCGUUGAGGCAUAUCACGUUGGCGAGCCUCCGACGUGACAAUACCAAUGACUUUAAGAAGAUGGCAGGAUUCAGCCAAUCUGACAAGUGUAGGUUCUGCAAGGUUGAAACAGAAAGUACCAGUCACCUUCUUUCAUGAUGUAAAAAUCUCUUGUCAGAACAAUUGUGCACACAAAGGCACAACAAUGUAUUCAGAAUAGUCCAAUGGCCCAUCUGCAAAAACGUCAAUAUACCAGUGUCAGAUAAAUUGUGGAAGCACAAACCAAAAGCGAUCGUAGUUCUCAUGUAUGACCUGACCAUCCCAUUGAGAUUGAAUGUAGAAAACAAAGCAUUGUGACCUGACAUAGUACUUAGUACAAAAAAAAGAAAAGAUGGCAUUGCUAAUCAAGGUGGCGGUGCCCAGGAACAUUGGUCUAGAAAACUGACCAACUAUCAGGAUCUGGAAAAUAAGGUCAAGAGAAACUCCUGAUGCUGAAGAGCAACAACAUUGUACCAGUCAUAAUUCAAGUAAUGGGAAUGAUCAAGAAGCUCAUUGAGAUCUUAAAAUCAUUCUGGGGAAUAUUACUACAAACAAAAGACAUGACAGCAUCUGCAAAGUAAUCCACUGGCACAUCUGUAAACAUUUCAACAUCCCGGCCACAGAACAACCAUGGAUACACACGCCAAAUCCUAACCUUGAAAAUUAACAAAUAAUGCUCACGCAUGACAAGAUGAUCCCGUCAAGUUAGUGUGGACAUUGCAGACAAAGCAUACAUUAAAAAAAAUACUCAUGCAUAAAAAAAACAUCGUAAUCAAUUAUAAGUUCACAUGUCACAGAAAAAAAAAAUAGAAAAUGAGGAAGCAUCUCAAAAUGCAAAGCCUGUCCACUUUGCACUGUAAUUAACCUUGAUGAAAAUGACAGUUAAAAAACACUUUACAUUUUAUUUAUUUGUGUUCUCCAUAUUCUCAUAAUAAAAGUUUCUUGAAGAUUUGAUGCCAAAAUCUCAAUUGGUAAAAAUGUUAUGGCCUGGACAGACACAUUGAAGCUGUGUGUGUGUGUGUGUGUGUGUGUGUGGGUGUGUGUGUGCCCCCCC
ensembl:lincRNA